AUAUAUAUAUAUAUAUGAUGGGCUUCUUUCAGUUUCUGUCUAUCGAAUUCACUCCCAAAGCUUUGUUUGGCCCAGGGCUACAAUAGAAGACACUUG